GCAUGGACGAAUUCUGUGUUACUCAGCUCGAUAGUAACUUCAGUCAGACACCAUGCAAGAUUAACGCUCAUCCUCUCUACCAUCUGUGUUUGAGACUAUUUUGUCCAGUCACUGAAGAGAGACUGAGUACAAAA